GAUAGAGGCGCGGGAUGCAUCAGUACUCUCCUUGCUGUUGGGAUUGCAAGAGGAGGAAAGGGCUGACCGCCGAGGAGCCGGGACUGCAAACCCAUGCGGGCCGGUAUCCGGGGCAAGGGAGAAGAUCUCUUGCACUGUCGCCCGAAAGGGCGGAGAGCUGUCAG
rnacentral:ncRNA from 1 species